rnacentral:lncRNA from 10 species
GGAGGUUUGUGUAUUCAUGAUGCAUAUGUAUAGUCACGUGUAUGUUGCUUGCGUAUAUACCAUUCAAUAAUCAAUACAUAAAUAUAAAUAAUAUGUAUCUCCAUUUUAACAACUGUAAUUUAUUCCUAAAGCCAUAUUUAAAAAUAAUUACAUUUUUAAAUGGGAAAAGUCGUAUGAAGAAUUCUGUCCCACCUCAAGAUAACUAAACAAUUUUUCAGUAGAAAAAUAAAUCUAAAAACAGAAAAAAUAUUUUAAAAGUAAAUAAAUCGUACAUAAAACGAAGCGCAAUCGAGUUUUGUUGCACUAAUGCUUUCUUCCUCUUUCUACACCAUUUUGUUUGCAGAAUCGGCCUUUUGAAGGUUCCGGGUUACCCUGCAGUGAAGCUGUCAUUCAAGCACAGUCAGGGCCCAGGAGAGGGCGCAGGGAGGGCGCAGGCGCGCAGGGAGGGCUGGGCAUGCGCUCGGCGGGGCCUCCGGCUCUCGGGGACGCGCGCGGGCGGGGCUCGCCGGGGCUGAACCGGCUGAGCUUCCCAGGGACGCCCCGACCCAAGCCCUGCAGUCCGCGCGCGUCAGGGGUGUGCGCUGGAGGCCGGAAAGUCGAAUAUCACUUCCCAUCCUGCAUUUGAUGUGCUUUGGGGUUGAAAAAGCCCUUAUGUGGUAAAAAAAAAAAAAAAAAAAAAGUCAGAAAAGUGGCAAAAGUCUUCAACGGCCUGAAAAAGGCCGAGACAGGAACUGAGAAGCUGGCAGUAGGUCCUGCUACUGCUGCAGGGGCGGCGGGCGCCCUGGGUGGGCCACGAGGCAGGGACAGCCGAGGCUCCGCGCUCACCCCACCCGCAAGGGGCCAAGCGCAGACUCAGGGGAGCCAGAGGGGCCGGACCGCUGAGCAAGGGCUGGGGAAGGGUGAGUCAGGGGCCCCUGUGGGACUGCACGGGGUGGGGGGCACGGGCCCGGACCUCUCUCACAAAUGCCCACGUGGUCCCCAAGGCUAACGCCGGCUGCGUGGGCCGCAAGCUGCUCUGGGCCCGCAGCUCACUCCCCUGGGCACAGGGCUGACACCCGGGCGAAGCAGGAGUGUCCCAGCUUGCUUCAGCCCCUCCCCUGGGCCCCCAGGCUGGUGGCUCCAGAAGGACUUUACUAAGAGGGUGGGAAGCAUCAGUGCAGGUACCUGCCCUGGGCUAAGGGCCUCGUGUGGGUGAUAGCCCUCAGCAGGGCCCUCCCAUUUGGGCAUUGGCAGCCCACAGGGCUGUGGCCGUGGAGCUGGAGUGGCAGCUCCUGGAUCACCCCACACCUGCGUUCCUCAAGGCCUAGGCACCACUUGCUCCAUGGUCAAAAGCAUCACUUUGUGAAACGCAGACUGAGCAAAGCUGGCCUAAGAUUUUGGUCCUCCAGGAAUGACGGAAGGAGCCCUCUGCCCCCAUGUAGCCUAUAGCUGGGACACGCAGCAGCCAGUGAGUUGGUCACGGUAUGAAGGCUUCUCUCCUCCCGGCAAUCACAGAUCCCACGCUUGGAUACUUGGGAGUGAAGAUGUGUUAUUUCACCCACCGACUCGUUCCACACGACCAAGGCCUGUGCCUGCCCUGAGGGCGAGUUGGUUGAGCCUUGUACAGACAACUCUCAGAGCGUGGGCCUGGGCCGAACCUUUCCCUGUGAGCAGCAGCAUCAGCGUCUAGAACGACGGCCCUCCCGGUCCACGGUGGAAGGUGCGGAGCUCCCGUGGUGUGCUGGCAGCGAUUCGCAGAAGGGAGAUGGAGGGCCACAGGGCAGGUGCUCGCACGGAGUCAUCGAGGUCCAGGGACACCUUCCUCCCAGGAGUGUGUGUACAGUGAUCACUUGCUGCCAUAACACAGUCACAGAUCUACGUGUGUUCUCUGACUCUCAGCUGGGGCUCCAUCGGGGCCUGCUCUGGGCUCACCUGCGUGACCACUGGGCUCAGCUUCCUCGUCUGAGAAGCAUCAGGACUGGCCUUCCCACCCCCGCGUUCCCAGGGCUUCCACACUCCUUUCUAGCCAUGAGUCAGUCCUCAGUGGAUGACCAGUGGCCUGGGGUGGCCCUCUGAUUCUCUCACCUGUACUCAGGGGGCUGAACCUCACUCUUCUCUGCCAAAACCAACCAAUGAAUAAAUAAACAAACAAGCAUGGAAUUCCUAAAAAUGCAGGAUGCGCUUGCCGGCUGGCGAUACUCACAGUGGAGGCAGGAAGGGCAGCAUUCGCCUUCCACAAAGGAUGGACUGGCGCAGGUUGCAGGCGGGCAGGUGAUUUGGUGGCAAAUGGUUUUAAAUUUCUACAAGUGAAGAAAGGCAUGCAUGGAACACUCAUUUAAAAGGAGGGGACGCUGGUACAAGGGCUGAGACUAGAAGGGGUCGACAGAAUGGCUGAAUGUUUUCCAUCCUACGGACCAUACAUUACAGAGAUGUGAAAAUAAGGGCAUCUUUUUCUCCCAUUAGUGCUGACAGCCUAACAAGAACAGGGCCCCCAGAUGGCUCUUUGCAUCCAUUCCAUUCCUUUCUCCCUUCACUGAGCAGCAAGGAUGCAACAGAGAGCUCCAAGCUUCCUGGAAGGAGGGAAGAAAAGACGGGCAGCAGGAACUCCUGUUAUCUAAGGUAAUGCUGAGGCCAUUGUCAGCAGAAAUAGAGUAACAUUAAAAGCUAAAUUGUCUGUCUGUAAGACUUCAGGCAGUGGCUUGUAUUUCCCCCAAACGUUUCUGCUGAGCCUCAGGCUCUGUUGGAACCGGAUGGAAUUAAAUGCAGAGUCUAGGGCCAUGUCUGGCUUCUCUGUUCCUCCUGUUUCUAACCAACUGGGGACGCUGGCCAGGUUGCUCCCCCUCUCUGGGCUCUGGUUCUUUAUGUGCAAACAAAGAGGUUGAUUCAAGUCCUAAAUACGGUUCCUGGCCCUUCUGUGUUUCUUACACUGAAAUUUCCUCACAUAGCUGAACCGGUUUCACACAUCAGCACUGAACGCUGGCAUUUCCAGGCAGUCAGGUUCUGCCAAGUGUCCGAUGGUGGCCUCUUCCCCCAAGAGCCGUGUUCUGGGGCCUCACCUUGCAGGUACACGUGGUGCAGCUGUCCACCACCCACGUUUCAUUUUCCGCAAAGAACCGGCCAUCCUGCCAGCAAGCUGACAUGUUCCUUGUCUUAGGAGGGCCACCAAUGAGCUCCCAGAGAAACUGGUUAUCAUUCGACUGGAAAAUCAAGUGAAACAUUUAAGUGUAGACAAUAAUACUACAUAUUUAGUCAUCAUGCUUGUGGAUGAAAAACAAAGUUCCUCCUUCAUUAAAAAGCUCUAAAGUCAAGUAAGACUUGACUCAUCCCUGGGUGGAAGUUCCGGAAGUUGUCCUCCAUCCUCACGGGGCUUUCUGAGCCACAGCUUCGUCACUGCCUGGGCUUCUGGGGCUCCCCAUCCACCUGCCUUCCUGGAGAGCGGAAAUCGCGUGGCUCACAUCACACCUGGACCAGUGCAGAGCAACGCUGGGGCUCCUUCGACUGGGGACGCCAGGUGGGACUGGGGUGGGAACUAGGUCCCCAGGCAGCAGCCAUAACGACAGGCAGGGAUACAGCCAAGCUCCUGCCCUCGCCACCCUCCCUGCCCCGGUCUCCUGCCAUCGACCCCCUCCCUGCCCCAGGCUCCUGCCCUCGCCGCCCUCCCUGCCCCGGACUCCUGCCCCUGCCGCCCUCCCUGCCCUGGGCUCCAUCUCCUGGCAUCAUUUACUUCAUGCCCUCUGGGUACGAGUGACAGUCAGCAUCACUGCACCCUGGUUAGCCAUGUGUAUGUUGUGGGGCACCGUGGCCCGGAGCACCUCAUUAUGUUCAGUCCCUUUCUCUAAACUGCGAGCUGCCCGUCCUGAGCCCCGCAGGCAUCGCUCUCUCUUCCUGGCCGCGCUGUGCCGCUCAAACCCAUUUCACUCCUGCCAGCCUCACAGGAACUUCCCGUCCUGCCUCUUCAGCUAUGCCAACA